CUGAGCCACCCAGGCGUCCCUUAUGGCCCUUUUCAAUGCAGAGGAGAGGGAUCGCAUUAUGCGAGAAACCCAUAAGGUGAUAAAAGAGAGGCUUGGCCUGGACCUCGAUCCCUGGCGAAUGGAGGACUACUGCCCAAAGAAACCCCCCAACUGGGACCCAAACUCCGAUGAAGUCACUGCAGGCACUACAAUCUGUCUUGAAAAGGGCCCACGCAGGGAUCCAAACUGCCAACAGUGAAAUGGAGCCAGAGAUGGAUCCACAUCCUUACCAGCCUGGGGACUUGGUGUGGAUACGUCGCCACCAAGUGGGAAACUUGGAACCUCAUUGGAAGGGAUCCUUUACUGUCAUUUUGACCACCCCCACAGCAAUAAAAGUAGAAGGCAUCAGGGCCUGGAUUCAUGCGGGUCAUGUCAAACAAGCCGAGGACAGGAGCGCCCCCCAGAGAUGGGUACCAUUGCCGAUGGACUCCACCGACCAUGGACUAAAGCUAAGGCUCAAAAAACAAUGAGUUCAUUAAGUUCCUUGUUACUCCUAUUGUUACCGGUUUAUGUAAAAACUUCUGAGUCGCCCCAUCAGACAGAGAAGUAUAAAUAGGAAAUUAGACAGGUGAAAUUAACAAAAGUAGAAAAGGUUAUACAAAGCAAUGAGUGGCUGACCCAUCAGCCAACUAUGCAAUUUAAUGUGACUCUAUGUCAAUUGGCACCUGUAACUCCCUGUGUCACGCAUGCCCCCUAUUACAUGUAUCCUAACACAGGGACUUAUACAGGAUGUUGGGGGGCUUCAGACUAUUACUGUGCAUGGUGGGGCUGUGAGACAAUAGCCUCUGAUUGGGGAAUUAACCGUGACCCCCACAUAACGCUAGUACCCACCAGAACAGACAACUGUGUAACACAAAAGGAAUUUGAUAAAAAUUUAGCUGCAGGGAUCUUCCCUUCAAACGCAUCCCACCGAUAUAGGGGAUAUUGUACAAAUAUAUCUCUUAUGAUCAUCAACCCCAAAGAUCGUCUUUGGGAAUAUGGCGGAUCUUGGGGCCUUAGAUAUUAUGAACCUGGUGCAGAUAGAGGAGGGCAAUCUCCCAUCCAGAAGAUAAAGAUUUGAGAAGCGCCCUGGCCCAGGGCCGAACCCAGUUUUAAAUUCUCCCAAGCCAUUAAAACCAACCAGGCUACCCGCCAUGCCUACCCCGAAGGAGGCUAUUGUGAAGGAUAAAAAAGAGGUUGACAAUGGCAAUAGUGCCACAAAAGUUUUACUCCCACUGAUAGAUACAAUGUUUAAUUUUUUAAAUACUUCAGUUCCUAAUAUCACCCGAGACUGCUGGCCCCCAUACUAUAAUGGCGUGGGGGCCAAUCUUACCAUAGGGACCUGAAAGGGGAAGAUUAAAAAUGAAAGCUCUCAUGACUCUUGUGAAUGGGGAAAAGUACCUAGACUAACACUAGGGGAUAUAGAAGGUAAGGGACUUUGCUUUGCAACACGAAAAGGGAAGCAAUCUUCCCAGUACAAAGACUUAUGUGAAAUUAUAAUGGUCCCUACCGUCUUCACUAAUUUCCUUAAGGCCCCUUCCAGGGCCUGGUUUGCUUGCAAUUCAGGACUCAUGCCAUGCCUUAAUCUUGCCUUGUUCCAAAACGCUUCCUGGAAUGAACUCUGUAUAAUGGCCCACAUCCUUCCCCAAGUAGGUUAUUAUGGGGGAGUCGAGGGAUUCCAGCAUCUCCCUGCAGGGACAGGACGAACAAAACGUGCGGUCCCCAUCCUAAUUCCAGCGUUAGUGGCUGCAGGGAUAGCAGGGUCCACCGCAAUAGGAACCGCAGCCUUAAUAAAAGAGAAAGUAGAUUCUGAGGCUCUUGGAUCCCAAGUAGAUGCUGACCUACACCACAUGCAUGAAAAUAUAAACUAACUGAUUCCCUGAGCUCUCUAGCUGAAAUGGUACUGCAAAAUAGAAGAGGGCUUGACAUAACUAUUCUUAGAGAAAGGGGGACUUUGUGUGACCUUAGGGGAAGAAUGCUGCUUUUGGAUAAAUCACACUGGAGUCAUUAAAGACAGCCUGGCGGCUGUCAAAAGGAGGCUAGAUGAGCGCAAACAGCAAUGCAGGGACUCCUGGGGUGGUAUGAGAGUUUGUUCAACUGGUCUCCGUGGAUGACUUCCCUAAUAUCAGCGAUUACAGGCCCCCUGGUCUUACUAUUACUGAUGUUACUCUUUGGCCCCUGCGCUAUAAAUGCCCUGAUGUCAUUUGUACAAAAAAGAAUUGGGGCGAUAAAGAUGCUAAUCUUACAAACUCAAUAUAACCCCUUACCACAGGGGGACAUAGAACCGUCAAAGAUCUUUUCCAAAGAAAAGGGGGGGAAUGUAAGGGCCUACUUGAUCAGUACUGGUCUCAUCCCCAUAGAAUAGCCAUCCCUAUAUUUAGGUGUGAACUUAGAUUGACUCUGCCCCUUCCCCCAAGAGGAACGCGCUUAGAAACAGAACCAGUGAAAUAUGGUCGGCUGCUAAAAUACGACCGAAUAGCCCCCAAUAACAGAGCACAAGUACCAGGACAUGUCAGCCUGGGCGAGAUAAUGGAGCCCAGAUACCAGGAUGUGUUUGGCCAGGUGGAGACAUCCAAUCAGUAAAAGCGCAUGUAUUACCUCCCUACCCGCUAAGGAAUGUGAGCCCUGCCUUUCAGGUGCCAAUUCUAGCCAAGGUGAUAGGCUGAAUCAAAUGAUUACCAUGAGGUAGAGUGUAAUCCAAUUGGCCACCUGUGUAUAACCUAGCAUGAUUGUAUGAUGUUCUCUGUGUGCUACAUUCUCAUUGGCCGGGUUCAACUAUAUGGCCUUUACUUUAUAAAACCUGGCCGAUGAGAAUAGGAGGUCAUUGCUUUCCCUUUGUAAAAGGUGACCCCGACCGGUCGGUUUUGGUUCUCGGUGCUAGCCCGAAAUAAAGCCCUGCUUAACUUUA